rnacentral:lncRNA from 1 species
AACAGAUGAGUUUGGAUGGAGAAUGUUAUCUUUAGGUGGCUCUACAAAGCCCAUGUUAGCCUUUACCAACAGAUCACCUUCAUGGCACACAUUCCUCCUUCCUAUGCUAUCAUUCACCUUCAUGGUUGAAUCUUCAUCAAAACUCAUCAAAUCCUUCAAUUGGUCAUAGUACUUACCUGGUUUUGUUACCUCACCACUAUUGCAGGCAUCUAAAUCUAGCAAAGACACGGACUCCAGAUGUGGCCUUGGAGCUACUAUGUUGAUUCUAAUUCUAGACAAGCAAACAAAAUGUGAGAGGCUCAAUCUCCAAAACCUCA